rnacentral:rRNA from 1 species
CCUACGGGAGGCAGCAGUAGGGAAUCUUCCACAAUGGGCGAAAGCCUGAUGGAGCAACGCCGCGUGGGUGAAGAAGGUCUUCGGAUCGUAAAACUCUGUUUUUAGAGAAGUAAGUGCGUGUGAGUAACUGUUCAUGUUUCGACGGUAUCUAACCAGAAAGCCACGGCUAACUACGUGCCAGCAGCCGCGGUAAUACGUAGGUGGCAAGCGUUAUCCGGAUUUAUUGGGCGUAAAGGGAACGAAGGCGUUCUUUUAAGUCUGAUGUGAAAGCUUUCGGCUUAACCGUAGUAGUGCAUUGGAAACUGGGAGACUUGAGUGCAGAAGAGGAGAGUGGAACUCCAUGUGUAGCGGUGAAAUGCGUAGAUAUAAGGAAGAACACCAGUGGCGAAAGCGGCUCACUGGACUGUAACUGACGCUGAGGUUCGAAAGCGUGGGUAGCAAACAGGAUUAGAUACCCUAGUAGUC